rnacentral:rRNA from 1 species
AACUGCGAAAUGGCUCAUUAAAUCAGUUAUCGUUUAUUUGAUAGUACCUUACUACAUGGAUACCUGUGGUAAUUCUAGAGCUAAUACAUGCUGAAAACCUCGACUUCGGAAGGGGUGUAUUUAUUAGAUAAAAAACCAAUGCCCUUCGGGCUCCUUGGUGAAUCAUAAUAACUUAACGAAUCGCAUGGCCUUGCGCCGGCGAUGGUUCAUUCAAAUUUCUGCCCUAUCAACUUUCGAUGGUAGGAUAGUGGCCUACCAUGGUGGCAACGGGUAACGGGGAAUUAGGGUUCGAUUCCGGAGAGGGAGCCUGAGAAACGGCUACCACAUCCCCGGAAGGCAGCAGGCGCGCCAAU